rnacentral:rRNA from 1 species
AGAGUUUGAUCCUGGCUCAGGAUGAACGCUAGCGGCAGGCCUAACACAUGCAAGUCGAGGGGUAACGAUGGAGCUUGCUCCAGUCGACGACCGGCGCACGGGUGAGUAUCGCGUUUGUAACCUACCUUUAACAGGGAGAUAGCCCGAAGAAAUUCGGAUUAAUAUUCCAUAACACUAUAGUUUGGCAUCAUUUUAUAGUUAAAGCUCCGGCGGUUAAAGAUGGGCAUGCGUAACAUUAGCUUGUUGGUGAGGUAAAAGCUCACCAAGGCUACGAUGUUUAGGGGGUCUGAGAGGAUGGUCCCCCACACUGGUACUGAGACACGGACCAGACUCCUACGGGAGGCAGCAGUGAGGAAUAUUGGUCAAUGGGCGAAAGCCUGAACCAGCCAUGCCGCGUGAAGGAUGACGGCCCUAUGGGUUGUAAACUUCUUUUGUACGAGAAGAAACCACUCUACGUGUAGAGUGCUGACGGUAUCGUACGAAUAAGCAUCGGCUAACUCCGUGCCAGCAGCCGCGGUAAUACGGAGGAUGCAAGCGUUAUCCGGAUUUAUUGGGUUUAAAGGGUGCGUAGGCGGAAGAUUAAGUCAGUGGUGAAAUCCUGCAGCUCAACUGUAGAACUGUCAUUGAUACUGAUCUUCUUGAAUAUAGUUGAGGUAGGCGGAAUGUGUAAUGUAGCGGUGAAAUGCUUAGAUAUUACACAGAACACCGAUUGCGAAGGCAGCUUACUAAACUAUGAUUGACGCUGAGGCACGAAAGCGUGGGGAGCGAACAGGAUUAGAUACCCUGGUAGUCCACGCCGUAAACGAUGAUUACUCGUUGUUGGCGAUACAUUGUCAGCGACUGAGCGAAAGCAUUAAGUAAUCCACCUGGGGAGUACGAUCGCAAGAUUGAAACUCAAAGGAAUUGACGGGGGCCCGCACAAGCGGAGGAACAUGUGGUUUAAUUCGAUGAUACGCGAGGAACCUUACCUGGGCUUAAAUGCAGAACGACAGACCGUGAAACUGGUCUUUCUUCGGACGGACUGCAAGGUGCUGCAUGGCUGUCGUCAGCUCGUGCCGUGAGGUGUCGGGUCAAGUCCCAUAACGAGCGCAACCCUCGUCACUAGUUACUAACGGUUCGKSCGAGGACUCUARUGAGACUGSCUUCGUAAGGASGAGGAARGUGAGGACRACRUCUAGUCAUCAUGGCCCUUACGGCUACGGCAAUACACGUGCUACAAUGGSCACGACASUGAGACGCGAUACCGUGAGGUGGARCAAAUCUAUMARCCUGGUCUCASUUCGCAUAGUARUCUGYAACUCGACUACAUGAARCUGGAAUCACUAKUAAUCGUACAUCAGCUAURCUACGSUGAAUACRUUCCCGGGUCUYGUACUCACCGC